ensembl:lincRNA
AUGAACAAUGUAGAGAAGGCGACAGUGAUGAACCCAUCCAGUCCACUCACCCCCACAUCCGAGAGAGUACAGCGUAGGGUAGGAGCGACGCAGGGCUGCUGGAUUCUAUUUGGAUCAAUAGGAAAAAGUGGUUCAAUGAAGAGCUUGAAGCAGUGUGGAACGGGACCCCGUGCAAGAAAUAGUGGAAGACGGGGCAGCAGAAAAGCUGGGGGUGCAGCUGGCCAAUGCCAAAUCAAGGACGUCGAACGUCAUUGGCUAGGUGUCAAUGCCUGGAGUAUUCCCCCAUCAGUUAUCUCUGAUCCACACAAGAUAAGAGAAGCAGAGAGUGUCAGGAAGAGGAGGAACGUCAGAGAAAGCACCUAGGUGCCCUAAGGAACCCAAGAGAGUCUGCUUUUUUUUUUUGUCUUUUUCCUUUUUAUCGGUACUGGGGAUUGAACUCACGACUGCCUGCUUGCAAGGCAGGCGCUUAUGCCGCUGAGCUAAAUCCCCAGCCCCAAAAGCGUUACUUUUAAUAACAAAACUUAUGUCAUAGGGCAGGGGUUGAGGUUUUGGCCACAGCUUCAGGUGAAUAUUAGCCCAUAACCCUUGACCAUUUGACAUUUGGCCAGUAUGCAUUUGGAGAACACCUAUUUCCGUCCAUCCAUCUGUACAUCCAUUCAUCCAUCCACUCAUCUAAAAUAAAAUCUCACCAUAAUCCUUUCUCUUGCUGUGGGAAAUGUGCUCAAUUACUUUUAUUCUAUUCAGUUUUAAAAAUUGCUUAUGAUGACCUCCAAAGUUGCAUUCCUGAUGCAAUCCUUGCAGUUUGAGAAAGGAAGGAGGGACUUGCCUGGGGAUGGGCAAUGCGCUCCAGAGGUGAUGCCUAACAUCUGGCCACCCCCAAGGGCAGAGCGGGGAUGGAGACCCCUACCUGACCCCAGCUUCCUGACGCUAAAGAUACCCCGGCCGACUGCCCUGCUUUCAUCCGCACUCAGAAACCCACUUCCUGCCGCUUCUGAACGAGCUGCCAGGCCUGCCUGAGACGUGCUGUUUUUGCUUUGCCCUGCCAGUGCCUGAUUACUGCUGCUGUUUCCCACCCAGAGCUCACAGAGACGCCCCUCCUUGAGCCAUCUUUGACUGCCAGGCUAGAAGACUGGGUGUUUCUCUGUGUGUUCAAAACAGACUGUUAGCCUUGCUAUUUACUGGGCAGCUUGGGAUGGCAUCCUCGAUUCCCUAGGACCUGGCAUAGUGGCUGGGCCUGGGUCAAUACACACAUUUCCGUUACAGGGAGGCUGUCUUGACCAGCAUCCCUCUGGCAAAUGCUAGAAUCCUGGCUUGCUUGGCAAACAUAAUACCAUAAAUCCUUGUCCAAGGGUAUUUUGUGUACUAUAGCUUUGUAUGUUGUGGGUUCAACUGGCAUGAGCCAGUCCUCUUUAAUUUCAUUAAAUCUGGGAGGAGUCUAAAAUUUGUUUUCUAGAAACGGCAGAGUUGGAAGAUUUACCAAAUUAAUACCAUUUCCUAAAAUCGAGACCUGUCAUCUGAUGUCCAAGUCUGACAUUUCUAUCUUGCUCCUGACAUUAAUUUUAUGUGCAGGGACAAUAUUUUAAAUCCAAGUCGCUUUAGGACACAGUGACUCUCUGUAUCUUCAACCAAAU